CUGCUACUACUAUCUGCUACCUCCUACAACUUCUGCUAACAGUUCCUGCUAAUACUACCACGUUAUUGCUAUUGUCCAUGCUACUGCUACCUGCUACCGUCCUCUGCUACUACUACUACCUCCUACAGCUCCUGCUACUUCUACUGUCCCCUGUUACUGCCUAAUCCUAAUCCUAAUACUAAUCUUACAUCUUAAUCCUAAUCUUAUUCCUAGUCAUAAUUCUAAUCCUGAUCCUACCUCCUAAUCAUACCUCCUAACCCUAAUCAUAAUCCUACCUCCUAAUCCUAAUCCUAAUCAUACCUCCUAUUCCUACAUCCUAAUACUAAUCCUAACCCUACACCUAAUCCUAAUCCUAAUCCUAUCUCCUAUUCCUACUUCCUAAUCCUAAUCCUAAUCCUAAUCCUACUCCUAAUCCUAAUCCUACCUCCAAAUCCUAUCUCCUACUCUACUCCUAAUCCUACUCCUAAUCCUAAUCCAACUCCUACCUCCUACUCUACUCCUAAUCCUAAUCCUACUUCCUAAUCCUAAUCCUAAUCCUACUCCUACUCCUAAUCAUACCUCUUAUUCCUACUUCCUAAUCCUACUCCUAAUCCUACUCCUAAUCAUAAUCCUAAUCCUAUCUCUUACUCUACUCCUAAUCCUAAUCCUAAUACUACCUCCUACUGUACUCCUAAUACUACCUCCUAUUCCUACUUCCUAAUCCUAAUCCUAUUCCUACCACUUUAUCCUAUCUCCUAAUCUUGUCUCCUACUCUAAUCUUAAUCCUUCCUCCUAACCCUAAUCCUAAUCCUAAUCCUACCUCCUAAUCCUAAUCCUAAUUGAACCUCCUAUUCCUACAUCCUAAUACUAAUCCUAAUCCUAAUCCUAAAGCCUAGUCCUUGUCCUUAUCCUAAUCCUAAAGCCUAGUCCUUAUCCUAAUCCUAAAGCCUAGUCCUUAUCCU
rnacentral:lncRNA from 1 species